rnacentral:rRNA from 1 species
CUAUACAUGACUCUGCGCAUAUCAAUAAGCGGAGGAAAAGAAACUAACAAGGAUUCCCCUAGUAACGGCGAGUGAAGCGGGAAGAGCUCAAAUUUGAAAUCUUCAAGGGUUUCCCUUGACGAAUUGUAGUUUAAAGAAGUGUUUUCUGUUAGAGAGGUGGUAAAAGUUCUUUGGAAUAGGACAUCAUAGAGGGUGAGAAUCCCGUAUUUGAUCACUUUCUACUAACGUUGUGAUACACUUUCAAAGAGUCGGAUUGUUCGGGAAUGCAGUCCAAAAUGGGUGGUAAAUUUCAUCUAAAGCUAAAUAUUGGCGAGAGACCGAUAGCGAACAAGUACCGUGAGGGAAAGAUGAAAAGAACUUUGAAAAGAGAGUUAAACAGUACGUGAAAUUGUCAAAAGGGAAGCGUUUGACACCAGUGUUGUUUUUCCGAAAAUCAAUUACGAAUGUUUUGUUUUUGAGGAGUUAUGACUUCAUCGGCUUGCUCCUUUCUUUAUGAAACUUUCUUAAUGCACUUUUCGGUUAACAAGUCAACAUCAAUUUCUUUUGUUGUAAAAGGGUAUGAGGAAGGUGGCUUUCUUUUCGGAGAAAGUGUUUAUAGCCUUGUAGCCUCUGCAAUCGGAGAGAUUGAGGUCUGCAGCGUAGAUCCUUCGGGGUUAGAUACAGUUUGUGCUAAGUUAUAGUCUUUUAUAGACAACUUGUUGACUAUGAUUUAGUCUUGUAGCUUACUCGCUGAUGCUAUUUUACCUACGCUUAGGAUGUUGACGAGACUGUCGAUCUCAUCUAUACAUGACUCUGCGCAUAUCAAUAAGCGGAGGAAAAGUACCUACGCUUAGGAUGUUGACGAGACUGUCGAUCUC